AGAGUUGAUCUGGCUCAGGAUGAACGCUAGCGACAGGCUUAACACAUGCAAGUCGAGGGCAGCAUAAAAGUAGCAAUACGUUGGUGGCGACCGGCGCACGGGUGAGUAACGCGUAUGCAACCUACCUAUCAGAGGGGAAUAACCCGGCGAAAGUCGGACUAAUACCGCAUAAAACAGGGACACCGCAUGGUGAUAUUUGUUAAAGAAAUUCGCUGAUAGAUGGGCAUGCGUUCCAUUAGGUAGUUGGUGAGGUAACGGCUCACCAAGCCGACGAUGGAUAGGGGAACUGAGAGGUUGGUCCCCCACACUGGUACUGAGACACGGACCAGACUCCUACGGGAGGCAGCAGUGAGGAAUAUUGGUCAAUGGGCGAGAGCCUGAACCAGCCAAGUCGCGUGGAAAAGGAAGAAGGAUCUAUGGUUACGUAAACUUCUUUGCGAGGGAAUAAAGUGCAGGACGUGUCCUGUUUUGUAUGUACCCUGAGAAUAAGGAUCGGCUAACUCCGUGCCAGCCGCAGC
rnacentral:rRNA from 1 species